ACCACCACCGGCGAACCAGUCCAGUGGAAACGUUGCUCGCGGCACGUGGCCCCGGGGAUGGCCCGGGGGCGCGCGUCCCGAGAUCUCUAAACAACCCUUUGGGCGCUGCGAGCGCCAAGGAAUAGAAGCGGAAAGGGCGGCCGCCUCACCCGGUGCGAGCACGCCUCGGCCGGGGAUGCAGCAUCGCUGUGGGGAUCCGCCUCUCGUCUGUGAAUCUUUUAGACGACUCUCGGCAACGGAUAUCUCGGCUCUCGCAUCGAUGAAGAACGUAGCGAAAUGCGAUACUUGGUGUGAAUUGCAGAAUCCCGCGAACCAUCGAGUCUUUGAACGCAAGUUGCGCCCGAGGCCGCUCGGCCGAGGGCACGCCUGCCUGGGCGUCACGCCACCCAUCGCCACCCCCCGCGGCAUUCCGGUGCCCGCGCGGGGAGCGGAGACUUGCCGUCCGUGCCCGAGCCCUCGGCGCGCGGUCGGCAGAAAAGGAGGACACCGUGCGGCGCGACACGGCGUGUGGGGGUUGAGAGGCGACCCGUCGCCGAUCGUACGUCGCGCCCGCAUUCCGCCGCGCGCAGUGUCACCCGUGGGACCGGACUCGCCCGCAGCGGCGGGCGCUCGGACCGCGACCCCAGG
rnacentral:rRNA from 1 species